AGUACCUUCCUUCCAUAGUGUAAAGAUCGCACCGAAAAAAUUUCAAUUUUGCACGAAAAUAAUUUUUUGCAUAGACUUAUAAUGGAAAUCAGUCGGGUGCUAUAGUACCCCGCGCGCCUAACGGUGUAAUUUUUUUUCGCGCGACUAACGGAGGUGGGUCGAUCUGACUUCGUGUUUUGAGGGAAAGCUUAUUGGUUGAUAUAGAGUCAGUCAUGAUAGAAAUGACCAAUUAGAGCAUAAAAGGCGUAAAAACAAAAUUUUUAAAGCCAAUAAACGGCAAAAAAGUUUCCCAUAGACUUAACAUUGUCAGUUUGAAAGGUGGCGUUUUUUGGCGAUAUUUAUUGCUAAAUGGUGUUGAAAACAUGUUUAUUCGUCUAAAUAAUUUCAAGCGACUUAUUAUUAGCAAAUUAGAAGU